rnacentral:misc_RNA from 1 species
AAGUCGUAACAAGGUUUCCGUAGGUGAACCUGCGGAAGGAUCAUUAAAAAUGUAACCGGACCGGUACGUCGGAGGUGAGAGCCCACGGCGGAUUGGGAAGGGGAUAUCAUACACCCUGUGUUUAUUUUACCUUUGUUGCUUUGGCGGGCCGUCCGUAAGGCGUCGGCCCCGGCUGACCGCGCCCGCCAGAGGACCCAAACUCUUUUAUCAGUGAUGUCUGAGUACUAUAUAAUAGUUAAAA